CAUAAGAUCCACCGGGAUAGAAGGAAGACCCUCCCUGCAGAGGAAAACAUCAGGAGUUACUGUUUUAUAUCUAAAGUGUUCUCUCAAGAAAGAUUCUUAGGGUUCUCGCAUGCAGGUACAAUGACCAGAAUGUGUACCUGGUUACCAGAAUAAGAGCCAUGGAAAGAACCUGGGGCUCCCUAAAAGGAAAACACAGAUCAGCUAGUUUCUUGCAGCCAAGGACAAAAAACCUGCCUACCACAGCAAUGUGUUUAAAUGUUAAUCUUAGGCAUUGCUACUGCCAUACGUAGAGGAUCUACCCUGGACAGAAAAUGAAAAUAAGUCAAGCAUAAAUAAGUUGAAUUGGAACCAGGAUGAAAACUACCAGUCUCACACCACAGGAGUCACUUUCUGAGCCUAUCUUGUUCUAUGGAAAUUAAAUGGAGCAACAUCCAAAAGUCACUCCCAAACAAAGACUGUUUGCUCAGCAGAUGAAUGCCCACUGUGACAGACAGAAAAUUUGUAAGUCUUCUGUUCUUAACAGU